rnacentral:rRNA from 1 species
AGUGAACGCUGGCGGUAGGCCUAACACAUGCAAGUCGAACGGCAGCACAGUAAGAGCUUGCUCUUACGGGUGGCGAGUGGCGGACGGGUGAGGAAUACAUCGGAAUCUACUUUUUCGUGGGGGAUAACGUAGGGAAACUUACGCUAAUACCGCAUACGACCUACGGGUGAAAGCAGGGGAUCUUCGGACCUUGCGCGAUUGAAUGAGCCGAUGUCGGAUUAGCUAGUUGGCGGGGUAAAGGCCCACCAAGGCGACGAUCCGUAGAUGGUCUGAGAGGAUGAUCAGCCACACUGGAACUGAGACACGGUCCAGACUCCUACGGGAGGCAGCAGUGGGGAAUAUUGGACAAUGGGCGCAAGCCUGAUCCAGCCAUGCCGCGUGGGUGAAGAAGGCCUUCGGGUUGUAAAGCCCUUUUGUUGGGAAAGAAAAGCAGCAGGUUAAUACCCCGCUGUUCUGACGGUACCCAAAGAAUAAGCACCGGCUAACUUCGUG